UCCACGCCUAGCCCGACGGGGCGAAAACGGCCCCCCUUCUCCGCUGGCGUGGGUUCUAUUUGAGGG
rnacentral:sRNA from 1 species